rnacentral:ribozyme from 1 species
GGACGGCUCGAGAUUGUCGUUGAUUUGUUUUAAACCGCUGAGAAUAAACAAUGAGAACGCGGGCGAGACAGAAAAGAAUAAAAAGAAAAAGAAACGCAA